GAUGAAGAACGCAGCGAAAUGCGAUAAGUAAUGCGAAUUGCAGAAUUCAGUGAGUCAUCGAAUCUUUGAACGCACAUUGCACCCUGUGGUAUUCCGCAGGGCAUGCCUGUUCGAGCGUCAUUUCAACCCUCAAGCCCCGCUUGGUGUUGGGCCCCGCCCGCUGUGGCCGGCCCUAAAGACAGUGGCGGCGCCGCCUGGCCCUCAGCGUAGUACAUCUCUCGCUCCAGGGUCCGGUGGCCGCCUGCCAGAACCCCCCAACUCUGUGGUUGACCUCGGAUCAGGUAGGGAUACCCGCUGAACUUAAGCAUAUCAAUAAGCGGAGGA
rnacentral:misc_RNA from 1 species